rnacentral:rRNA from 1 species
GAUGAACGCUGGCGGCGUGCUUAACACAUGCAAGUCGAACGGAAAGGCCCAAGCUUGCUUGGGUACUCGAGUGGCGAACGGGUGAGUAACACGUGGGUGAUCUGCCCUGCACUUCGGGAUAAGCCUGGGAAACUGGGUCUAAUACCGGAUAGGACCACAUUUUGGAUGGUGUGGUGGAAAGUUUUUCGGUGGGGGAUGAGCUCGCGGCCUAUCAGCUUGUUGGUGGGGUAAUGGCCUACCAAGGCGUCGACGGGUAGCCGGCCUGAGAGGGUGUACGGCCACAUUGGGACUGAGAUACGGCCCAGACUCCUACGGGAGGCAGCAGUGGGGAAUAUUGCACAAUGGGCGCAAGCCUGAUGCAGCGACGCCGCGUGGGGGAUGACGGCCUUCGGGUUGUAAACUCCUUUCGCUAGGGACGAAGCGUUUUUGUGACGGUACCUGGAGAAGAAGCACCGGCUAACUACGUG